AUCUGCCUGUCUGUCUAUCUAUGUAUGUCUGUCUGUCUAUGUUGGUCUGUCUGUGAACUUGCUUUAGUAAACUUUCUAUCUAUCUAUAUAUCUGCCUGUCUGUCUAUCUAUGUAUGUCUGUCUGUGUCUAUGUUGGUCUGUCUGUGAACUUGUUUUAGUAAACUUUCUAUCUAUCUAUAUAUCUGCCUGUCUGUCUAUGUAUGUAUGUCUGUUUCUAUGUCUGUCUGUCUCUCUGUC